rnacentral:rRNA from 1 species
CAGCAGCCGCGGUAAUACGGAGGGUGCAAGCGUUAAUCGGAAUUACUGGGCGUAAAGCGCACGCAGGCGGUCUGACAAGUCAGAUGUGAAAUCCCCGGGCUUAACCUGGGAACUGCAUUUGAAACUGUCAGGCUGGAGUCUUGUAGAGGGGGGUGGAAUUCCAGGUGUAGCGGUGAAAUGCGUAGAGAUCUGGAGGAAUACCGGUGGCGAAGGCGGCCCCCUGGACAAAGACUGACGCUCAGGUGCGAAAGCGUGGGGAGCAAACAGGAUUAGAUACCCCGGUAGUCCCUGUCUCUUAUAC